rnacentral:lncRNA from 1 species
CUGGUGGAACACACACAAGUCUAAACUGUGGUUGGUCUCCAUGUUGCAUCACUAGAGUAAAAUGACCCUUUUCACGUAGCCAGUACCACCAGUCAGCUCUCCCCUCUGUCAGUGGCUUCAUAUCCUUGUAUAUUCCUCAUAGAGUAUUUUAAAGACACAAAGGCAGCAAUUCACACAUAGAGAAGAAGGCUGACACAAGCACGACCACUGCAAAUUCUAAGAUAGCAGCCCC